AAACGACUCUCGGCAACGGAUAUCUCGGCUCUCGCAUCGAUGAACAACGUAGCGAAAUGCGAUACUUGGUGUGAAUUGCACAAUCCCGUGAACCAUCGAGUCUUUGAACGCAAGUUGCGCCCGAAGCCAUUAGGCCGAGGGCACGCCUGCCUGGGCGUCACGC
rnacentral:rRNA from 1 species